rnacentral:rRNA from 1 species
GGCUGGCGUCAGCUCGUGUCGUGAGAUGUUGGGUUAAGUCCCGCAACGAGCGCAACCCACGUCUUUAGUUGCCAGCAUUAAGUUGGGCACUCUAGAGAGACCGCCGGUGAUAAACCGGAGGAAGGUGUGGAUGACGUCAAGUCAUCAUGCCCCUUACAUCCUGGGCUACACACGUACUACAAUGCUACGGACAAAGGGCCGCAAACUCGCGAGAGCUAGCAAAUCCCAUAAACCGUGGCUCAGUUCAGAUCGUAGGCUGCAACUCGCCUACGUGAAGGAGGAAUCGCUAGUAAUCGCAGGUCAGCAUACUGCGGUGAAUACGUUCCCGGGCCUUGUACACACCGCCCGUCACACCAUGGAAGUUGGCCACGCCCGAAGUCGUUACUCCAACCUGCAAGGGAGGAGGAUGCCGAAGGUGGGGCUGAUGACUGGGGUGAAGUCGUAACAAGGUAGCCGUACCGGAAGGUGCGGCUGGAUCACCUCCUAA